rnacentral:piRNA from 1 species
UGCCACAAAAUCACCAAAGCCUACUGUGGU